rnacentral:rRNA from 1 species
CCUACGGGAGGCAGCAGUGGGGAAUAUUGCACAAUGGGGGAAACCCUGAUGCAGCGACGCCGCGUGAGUGAAGAAGUAUUUCGGUACGUAAAGCUCUAUCAGCAGGGAAGAAAAUGACGGUACCUGACUAAGAAGCCCCGGCUAACUACGUGCCAGCAGCCGCGGUAAUACGUAGGGGGCAAGCGUUAUCCGGAUUUACUGGGUGUAAAGGGAGCGUAGACGGCAGCGCAAGUCUGGAGUGAAAUCCCAUGGCUUAACCAUGGAACUGCUUUGGAAACUGUGCAGCUAGAGUGCAGGAGAGGUAAGCUGAAUUCCUAGUGUAGCGGUGAAAUGCGUAGAUAUUAGGAGGAACACCAGUGGCGAAGGCGGCUUACUGGACUGUAACUGACGUUGAGGCUCGAAAGCGUGGGGAGCAAACAGGAUUAGAUACCCGGGUAGUC